GAUGAACGCUGGCGGCGUGCCUAAUACAUGCAAGUCGAGCGAACGGACGAGAAGCUGGCUUCUCUGAUGUUAGCGGCGGACGGGUGAGUAACACGUGGAUAACCUACCUAUAAGACUGGUAUAACUUCGGGAGACCGGAUCUAAUACGGGAUGAUAUAUUGAACCGCAAGGUGCAGAAGUGAAAGACGGUCUUGCUGGCACUUAUAGAUGGAUCCGAGCUGCAUUAGCUAGUUGGUAAGGUAACGGCUUACCAAGGCAGCGAUGCCUAGCCGCCAUCAUAGCGUCGUCGGCCACCCUGGAGCUGAGGCUCAGUCCCGCCUCUCACGGGAGGCAGCAGUUGGGACUCUUGCGCGAUGGACCAAGGCCUGACCGAGCGACGCCGCGCGAAUGAUGACGGUCUUCGGUCCGUAAAAUUCUGUUAUUCGGAAAGCACAUAUUUGUUCGUAACUGUGCACAUAUUGACGGUACCUACUCAGAAAGCCACGGCUAACUUCGUG
rnacentral:rRNA from 1 species